GUCUGCUGGAUCUGCUGCUGCUGCAGCUCCGCCAGCUGCCUCUCCAGAAGUUGCUGCUUGAACUCCAAUUGCUCCUGCAGCGUCAAAGCUUGACCGUCGUUCGGGGACCUGAAGAUCGGCACCACGCUUUUCGGAAUGCCUUGCUCGUCUUGCUGCACGGUGAACGCCGCGACGAGCGGCGCCUGGAAGAUCUUCACUUCCUCGGUCUUGUCCUUCGCGUCGCUGGACGCGGUGGCGUUGUUGCCCGUGGCCGCGGUCGAGGGCGAGGGCGUGGGCUCGGCCAAUCUUUGCGCGACCAACGCGUUCGCCGUCGCGAUACCGGUCGUCGCACUUCCGGCAAGGCUUUCCGCGACUUCCGUGGCCGGCUUCAACGUCAGGCUUUCCACUCUGCUCACGGAGAAAGUAUUGGCCGGCCUCGGAGGACUCUUCUUCUCUUCCUGCUCCGCCUUCGGCUCUAUUUUCGUACCGAACGUGACACUUUUCUCGGGGAAGAUUACGUUCUGCACGUGAAAGCUCCUGGAUUCCUCCUGCGUCGCCUUCUCGAUGUGCAUCGCGGGCGUCUUCAGCGUCACGUAACGAACGGACUCCAAGAAGCUCGAGUUCUGCAGCUUGUCCUCCGGCGGGAUCUCCUCGUCCCGAGGGAAGCUCUGGAACGAGAACAUCGACCCGAGCCCGCGCACGCCGAGAUCCGCGUUCAGGCUUUUCUUCGGGUCGGUCACGCCAUCGAAGUCGGCCUCGACCUGGCCAGCCGGCCCCUGCUCGCCUUUAUGCUGCUCCGCGGAUUCCGCUUCCAAAUCGGUCAGAGCCUUCAACAGGGCUCGACGAAGAUUCUUGUCCAGCUUGAUCGGAGGCUGCGUCAUGUCCAGACCCUUCGCCGAGAUCUCGGUCUCUUGAGAUCUCGUCAGGGUUAUCGAUGUGCUCGCCAAUAGGAGUACUAGCGUUGCCUGCAAGUUCGAAUGCGAAUUAGCUGGUCGUAGAUACAAUCGAGACGGAGGAAUAUGUUUCCGUAACGUCCGUUAAAUGCUUGUCGAUUGCGUCUCGAUAUGCUGUGGAACAAUUGAUUUCUUCGCGAUUGCAUUUUUACUCGAUGCUUACGGGCUGACAUACUUUUCAGAAGCAUGCGCGGAGUUUAUAGAAUUUUUGUAGCCGCAAUUAAUGGACGCGUCUUCCAAUCGUCGCGAUCGUACCGUGGAGGCGACUGUACAUCAAAGCUUCCAAGAGCUUUGUACCAUUUUUCGUCGGUGUCCGUCGUUACCAGAAAUUAUGGAUAUCCUUCUUUCGAAACUCGUUUUAAUAUUAAAGUAUGCGAACGCGACUCCCCGCGGCAUGCUCCACAAAAACAUUCUCGGCCGUAUCCAGAAAAAUUUGCAUACUCGGACGCUUAGAAGGAGGUAUUAAUCACUCAUGGUGAAAGUUGUCCACAUUAACGAAGCCCACACCUAUCGACAAGUUUUCUGAGAUCUCGCGUUAGUUUUCUAAUUAGUAUGAAACAUUGAAAAUUCUGCAUCUUCUCCGUCGUACGAGAUACUCGUAGAAAAUACGAUACGCCGCAUGGGUAGUUUGUCAGGGUGGUAGAUCGUUGUGCUAGUCGAUCAAAACUAGUUUCUGCUCUUCCUCUAUUCAACUUCGUGCGAUUCGCUAUGAAUGGCACUGUACCGUGCCGCUCUAUAGGCGUGUACACGGUCGUUUCCCGUUGCAGGUUUCCAACACAAAACAGCUCCGUAGAACCGAAGCGUGUCGGAUAGAGUAGAUUAUGAAACGGCUCCGUGACUCGUCAUUGUAUUAUAAUAGUAGUUUCUUUUAAACAAAUAAAUAAAAGAGCAAAUACCGCACUCGAAGUGACGUAACGUUACGCGUUCACAUUUAGCGUGAGCUAACUAGUCGAAACAAUAGCCUCCUGAUAGGCCAUACCUCUUCUAAACGCAACUCUUGCUUAAAUAGUGUAACACUUUUGCAAUUACCUGUGCAACUGUUUUAAAAGCGAAUACAAAUUUCGUUUUUUCAGAGCGUCUUAAAUAUUGACGACGGAAGUACGUUGGUUUCUACGAAACCAACGUUGGGCAAGUAUUUCUCUCGUAAAUUACAGAAUUCCUCGCGACGUAAAUACAAACGAAUGUAUCGUGCCACGUUUCUCUGUGUUUUAGAAACGCUGCGUGACACAAAACGUUUGCUCUUAACGGAUGCUGUUCCAUGUUCCCAUCACGGCGCAACAUUCGUUGGAAGACGAGGGACUAACGAGGCAUAUUACAGUUCUACGGAUGUGGGACGCAACCGGUGGCCAAUUAUCGAGCGAAUUUCUUUGCGGUCGUGGAGCAGGAUCGUCACCCAGGUGCAACGGCAGACAGGAACGCGUCGAAACGGGGAAAAUAGUUGAGAAACAGAUCAUUCGCGGCGGCAACCGCACCUUGGAGGUCGCGGGUCCCCUUCCGCUGGCUCCGACUGGAUAUUACUUCAACGGCGCGAACUUUCACACGGCGGUCGUUAAAGGCUGCGCCACCGAAAAGGAAAAGCGAUUUUCGUUUCCCCGGCGCGGCGCGUUGCGACGGAGGAAUGUCGACGAAGUGCCAGAAAGCUCGGCGCAGCUUCCGUUCUAAGCGAUUCCAAUUGUAAGCGUCGCAAAGGCGACGCGCGUCGCCGCAAAGUCGAGAGAAAACACUCGGCGUGCCCCCCGACCGAUGGAAAAAUGGUAACCAGGCGGUCCAGUCGGCCGCGAAUGGGCCGCCUCUGACAUUUGCAAAGAAAGUUACGCGCGAGAAGAAGCGUUCAAAGCCGCCGCGUCGAGUCCGACAAAGCGAGUAUACGUUGAAACAGACAAUGAAAAAUCGAUGCGAGACCUUAAGGCGUGGGUUAGGGAAACCUGUUACUCAUUUUACGAUCCAAGCGUCAAUCGCAUUCUCGCAGAGACUCUUCCUGCGUUCGUAGCGUUCGCUGUUUACGGUUGACUUUUCCCACACCCAUCGCCGCGCGCCGCGCGACGCCAUCGGGGAAAUCGCGUUUUCAUCGUUCCACGUAAAUGUCGUCGAAAUUUAUGUACGCGUGCAGCAAUUAAGCGGAGAUUUCCAUUCGCUAGGAUCGACUUUUAAUCCAAGCGUUUCGGAGAGGGCCGCGAUAGGACCGGUCGCAAUAGUCGAUUAAGCUUUAUUUGUAUUGUUGUUUCGCGGACGUUGUUGUUUAGCAUAUUUUCGACAUUAAGGAUACGUAAUGGACGAAAGUCGACGGUAAAUUGGAUUAGAAAGUUCGUUUGUAACGGCCUUUGUAAUUUAUAAUUAUUUUGGGCCGGACGCUCGAGUUUGAAAUGUAAGAUUCGUACGAUCGAAAUUUAGACGAGGUACUUUAUCUGCUCGAAGCGGUCGUAGACACGAAUUGUUCGACCUGUCUUAUAAGAUGAAAUAUAAUUGGGGCAAUAAUU